rnacentral:rRNA from 1 species
UACGUAGGGGGCUAGCGUUGUCCGGAAUCAUUGGGCGUAAAGCGCGUGUAGGCGGUCCGAUAAGUCUGCUGUGAAAGUCGGGGGCUCAACCCUCGAAUGCCGGUGGAUACUGCCGGACUAGAGUUCGGAAGAGGCGAGUGGAAUUCCCGGUGUAGCGGUGAAAUGCGCAGAUAUCGGGAGGAACACCUAUGGCGAAGGCAGCUCGCUGGGACGUUACUGACGCUGAGACGCGAAAGCGUGGGGAGCAAACAGG